UACGAAGGGUGCUAGCGUUGUUCGGAAUCACUGGGCGUAAAGCGCACGUAGGCGGUUGUGUCAGUCAGGGGUGAAAUCCCGGAGCUCAACUUCGGAACUGCCUUUGAUACAGCACGUCUUGAGUCCGAUAGAGGUGGGUGGAAUUCCUAGUGUAGAGGUGAAAUUCGUAGAUAUUAGGAAGAACACCGGUGGCGAAGGCGGCCCACUGGAUCGGUACUGACGCUGAGGUGCGAAAGCGUGGGGAGCAAACAGG
rnacentral:rRNA from 1 species